rnacentral:lncRNA from 1 species
UAAAAUUGUAUAGAGGCGAAAUGUUCGAAUCUUUAUUCUUUUGGAAAGAAGAAAGAAUCACAAAAGUUGUUGAGGUUAAUUCACUUAGAUGUUAGUGGCACUUGUCCUCAACAUAAUACUACUCAUGUUAUAUGACAUUCACCGAAGAUCACUCUCGGUUGGACUAUAGUUUAUUUUGAAUAAACACAAGUCCGAAUACUUUGCAAAAAGUUUCAAAGAAUUCAAGAAAUGUAAAUAGAUGAGUAAGAUAUCUAAAGUAUUUACCUCUUUAGAUUUGAUCCAAGGAAAGGUAACACUUUAGAUGAGUUUCCUUGAAUGAUAUCAAGGAAAAUAGCAUCAUAAGAUAAUGUAUUUCUCCAUUAGGAGAAGAACGAACUAAAAUAAGAUUUAGUUCGUUAGAUGUUAUCUAUUACCCAUAUAUAGGAUAUAUACUUCUAAAACAAUAUGAUUGUCAAUUAGAAGAUCUUCCAAAAUUUUCAUAACUCCAUAAGAUGUAGUUGGAAAGAAAGACAAAUCUUAAGCAUGUUAAGAUUUAAGGUUGUGUGCUAAUAAGCAAUAUUUGUUUGAUAACAAUCUUGUGGGAUAUCCUUAAAUUAACUUUUGGAUAUCGCUUCUAUAAUCCAACUAACAAAUGUUGUUUUGUUGGGAAGUUCAUUGUAAUCCUACAAUGUGAUUUGCCUAAGAGCAAAUGAACGAGAUAGAACUCAAAGAAUGGGUUCUUUGAGAGACAAGGAAGUAAUCAACAAAUAUAACAACCUAGUUCCUAUACCUCAAGCUCCAAGGUAGUCAAUAAGGAUUUAUAAACCGUCUCAGUUGAAUGGUUUUGAACUUUAUGACUAUGUCAUAGAGUUGCACCUCUUAAUUCGAAAGAAGUAAGAAUGAAAAUCCUUAUGACUACAUUGAGUGCAUAUACGAUAUAUACUCAAGGAAAUGGUAAAGUACCAUU